GACSUAGGUCCCGAGCGUUGCCCGGAUUUACUGGGCGUAAAGUGCGCGUAGGCGGUUCGGCAAGUCGCCUGUGAAAGUCCGGGGCUCAACCCCGGGGUGCCGGGCGAAACUGCCGGGCUAGAGGACGGCAGAGGAGGGUGGAGCGGCCGGAGUAGCGGUGAAAUGCGUAGAUACCGGCCGAAAUCCCGAUGGCGAAGGCAACCCUCUGGGCCGUUCCUGACGCUGAGGCGCGAAAGCGUGGGGAGCGAACCGGAUUAGAUACCCGGGUAGUCCACGCCCUAAACGAUGCGGGCUAKGUGUCGGGGGGUAUUCCCUCGGUGCCGCAGCUAACGCGUUAAGCCCGCCGCCUGGGCAGUACGGCCGCAAGGCUGAAACUCAAGGGAAUUGACGGGGUCCCACACAAGCGGUGGAGCAUGUGGUUUAAUUCGAUGCUAAACGAAGAACCUUACCCGGGCUUGACAUGCAGGUGGUACCGACCCGAAAGGGAAGGGACCCCGGGCCGAAAGGCGCCGGGGAGCCUGCACAGGUGCUGCAUGGCUGUCGUCAGCUCGUGCCGUGGGGUGUUGGGUUAAGUCCCGGAACGAGCGCAACCCCUGCCGCCAGUUGCCAGCGGGCCCGAAUGGGCGCCGGGGACUCUGGCGGGACUGCCGGCGAAUAGCCGGAGGAAGGAGGGGAUGACGUCAAGU
rnacentral:rRNA from 1 species